UCUGGCGGCAGUAGCGCGGUGGUCCCACCUGACCCCAUGCCGAACUCAGAAGUGAAACGCCGUAGCGCCGAUGGUAUUGUGGGGUCUCCCCAUGCGAGAGUAGGGAACUGCCAGAC
rnacentral:rRNA from 2 species